AAAUCCCAGAUUUAGAGUACGAUGGAGACGUUGUCCGUAUAAAGUCGAUAAAGUCCGAAGGCACGCUCGAGUAGACCGCAUGUUUCCUUUUUAAAUACGUACAUAUGUGCGGAUCGAUUUCUACUCUUUGGGAUAUAACUACUCGCACUGAUCUUGCAUUUUAUACAGGGUCGAAGGUACGGACAAAUUUUCUCUGAUCUCAACCAAGUUGUCGAUAUAGAUCUUACUUCCAUCGGAGAAUUAGUCAUUAUUUAAUCAAUCAUGACGGAUAUUCAGCUUUUUAUCCGAAGACUCUACUACGAUCCCUUCAGAUGGUCGGUGGUUAAAAGUAUCGGCCUUUUUGCUUUAGGGGUAAAAAUUGCCCUGGAAUGUAGGGGCAUGGAUCUGAUGUCUCCUGUUACUUCUUAGAUUGUAAGUCCUCUUCCCGAUGUCGAAGUCUCGAGGAUUUAUUCUCACUGUCCUCUAUGUGUUAGUAACAUAACCUUUCAGCAAUUUGUACAUAUUAUUAAUGGAAAUGAUAAAAUAUUAGAUCCACAAUUAUUUUGUGA